rnacentral:rRNA from 1 species
GGAAAUCUCACCAGGCCCGGACACUGGAAGGAUUGACAGAUUGAUAGCUCUUUCUUGAUUUGGUGGGUGGUUGUGCAUGGCCGUUCUUAGUUGGUGGAGCGAUCUGUCUGGUUAAUUCCGAUAACGAACGAGACCCCAACCUGCUAACUAGCCCUCGGGUCCUGCUUCUGUUGGGCCCGACGGAAUGAUUCGCUUCUUAGAGGGACUCGCGGCGCCUAGCCGCACGAAGGGGGGCGAUAA